ACAACAGUAUAUAUUCCUUUCAAUUAAAAUUUUACAAAAUCAACGGCUGAAAAUAAAAAUCUUACAAAAUGUAAUAAAAUGACAUUAAAAUUUUAAAUCAAAGAUAUUGAUCUUGUUUUAUAUAGUAUAAAGAAUUUUCUAUCAAAAUUUCACGUGAUUUGGAUAUUUCUACACCGUUAAACUUGCAAACGGCUCACUACGGCCAUUGAAAUUUGUUGAUUUUGAGCACAUUCGAUCACGAGGCAAAUGAUAUCGAAAAAUAAUAAAAUUUAUUUUCUAGGUACUACAAAUACUCUAGAUCAAGUUUAGCGGAGCCGAUCGACGAUUCGAAAGUCGCAACAUCGAAAACGAGCUGGAAGCACGGAAGGCUCCGUGCUUCCGAUAGCAUAGUAGCCUCGCGUCGAAUCGUCGAUCGGCUCCGCUAAACUUGAUCUAGAGUAUUUGUAGUACCUAGAAAAUAAAUUUUAUUAUUUUUCGAUAUCAUUUGCAUAGUGAACUAAGAGGCUCAAAAUCAACGGCUGAAAAUAAAAAUCUUACAAAACGUGAUAAUAUGACAUUAAAUUUUAAAUCAAAGAUAUUGAUCUUGUUUUAUGUAGUAUAAAGAAUUUUCUAUCAAAAUUUCACUUGAUUUGAAUAUUUCUACACCGUUAAACUUGCGAAUGGCUCACCACGGCCAUUAAAAUUAUUGAUUUUGAGUACUUCAAAUACUCUAGAUCAAGUUUAAUGGAGUCGAUCAACGAUUCGAAAGUCGCAACAUCGAAAACGACCUGGAAGCACGGAAGGCUCCGUGCUUCCAGAAGCAUAGUAGCCUCACUAUAUAUAUAUAUAUAUAUAUAUAUAUAUAUAACUAGGCUGGAAUACUAUCAAUAGCACCAACCUAUUGGUGCUAUUAAUUUUUUAUUACUUGGAUUGAGAAAUGUGCGGUUAGAAAUUUAAAUUAUUGGCCCAUAUAUAUUUGUUGGCACAUAAGAUCAAACUAAUAAAACCCUAUCCUUCUUAUUCUUUCUACCUCUCUUUGGCAUGCGAGGUUGAAACAAAUAGAUAAAUAGAAAUUGACAUCAAGGUUAGAU
rnacentral:lncRNA from 1 species